UACAGAGGGUGCGAGCGUUGUUCGGAAUUACUGGGCGUAAAGGGUCUGUAGGUGGCUUGCUAAGUCAGACGUGAAAUCCCUCAGCUUAACUGGGGAACUGCGUCUGAGACUGGCGAGCUUGAGUGCAGGAGAGGAACGCGGAAUUCCACGUGUAGCAGUGAAAUGCGUAGAGAUGUGGAGGAACACCGAUGGCGAAGGCAGCCCCCUGGGCUAACACUGACGCUCAUGCACGAAAGCGUGGGGAGCAAACAGG
rnacentral:rRNA from 1 species